GAUCAUUAACGAGUUAGGGUCUUCUCAGGCCCGACCUCCCAACCCUUUGUUUACCCGACCCAUGUUGCUUCGGCGGGCCCGCCGUUUCGACGGCCGCCGGAGGACCGCCUAUUCAGGUCCUCUGGCCCGCGCCCGCCGGUAGCCAAUUCUACCAAACUCUUGAAUCAAAUCGUGUCCAAUGUCUGAGUAUAUUACAAAAUAAAAGCAAAACUUUCAACAACGGAUCUCUUGGUUCUGGCAUCGAUGAAGAACGCAGCGAAAUGCGAUAAGUAAUGCGAAUUGCAGAAUUCCAGUGAGUCAUCGAAUCUUUGAACGCACAUUGCGCCCUUUGGUAUUCCGAAGGGCAUGCCUGUUCGAGCGUCAUUAUCACCCCUCAAGCCCCCCGGCUUGGUGUUGGACGGUCUGGUCGAGCGUUUCCGCGCGACCCCUCCCAAAGACAAUGACGGCGGCCUGGUUGGACCCCCGGUACACGGAGCUUCUUCACUGAGCACGUAUCGGUUUCAAGGUGUCCCCGGGACCCGGUCGACCUCUCUUGCUCCCCUGCGGGAGUGGGAGAGAACCCCCCUUUUUAU
rnacentral:misc_RNA from 1 species